rnacentral:rRNA from 1 species
UGCGAAAAGCGUGGGGGAGCAAAACAGGAUUAGAUACCCUGGUAGUCCACGCCGUAAACGGAUGUCGACUUGGGGGGUUGUGCCCUUGAGGCGUGGCUUCCGGAGCUAACGCGUUAAGUCGACCGCCUGGGGAGUACGGCCGCAAGGUUAAAACUCAAAUGAAUUGACGGGGGCCCGCACAAGCGGUGGAGCAUGUGGUUUAAUUCGAUGCAACGCGAAGAACCUUACCUACUCUUGACAUCCAGAGAACUUUCCAGAGAUGGAUUGGUGCCUUCGGGAACUCUGAGACAGGUGCUGCAUGGCUGUCGUCAGCUCGUGUUGUGAAAUGUUGGGUUAAGUCCCGCAACGAGCGCAACCCUUAUCCUUUGUUGCCAGCGGUCCGGCCGGGAACUCAAAGGAGACUGCCAGUGAUAAACUGGAGGAAGGUGGGGAUGACGUCAAGUCAUCAUGGCCCUUACGAGUAGGGCUACACACGUGCUACAAUGGCGCAUACAAAGAGAAGCGACCUCGCGAGAGCAAGCGGACCUCAUAAAGUGCGUCGUAGUCCGGAUUGGAGUCUGCAACUCGACUCCAUGAAGUCGGAAUCGCUAGUAAUCGUAGAUCAGAAUGCUACGGUGAAUACGUUCCCGGGCCUUGUACACACCGCCCGUCACACCAUGGGAGUGGGUUGCAAAAGAAGUAGGUAGCUUAACCU